GUGACUGCGUACCUUUUGUAUAAUGGGUCAGCGACUUAUAUUCUGUAGCAAGGUUAACCGUAUAGGGGAGCCGGAGGGAAACCGAGUCUUAACCGGGCGUUAAGUUGCAGGGUAUAGACCCGAAACCCGGUGAUCUAGCCAUGGGCAGGUUGAAGGUUGGGUAACACUAACUGGAGGACCGAACCGACUAAUGUUGAAAAAUUAGCGGAUGACCUGUGGCUGGGGGUGAAAGGCCAAUCAAACCGGGAGAUAGCUGGUUCUCCCCGAAAGCUAUUUAGGUAGCGCCUCGUGAAUUCAUCUCCGGGGGUAGAGCACUGUUUCGGCUAGGGGGCCAUCCCGGCUUACCAACCCGAUGCAAACUGCGAAUACCGGAGAAUGUUAUCACGGGAGACACACGGCGGGUGCUAACGUCCGUCGUGAAGAGGGAAACAACCCAGACCGCCAGCUAAGGUCCCAAAGUCAUGGUUAAGUGGGAAACGAUGUGGGAAGGCCCAGACAGCCAGGAUGUUGGCUUAGAAGCAGCCAUCAUUUAAAGAAAGCGUAAUAGCUCACUGGUCGAGUCGGCCUGCGCGGAAGAUGUAACGGGGCUAAACCAUGCACCGAAGCUGCGGCAGCGACACUCAGGUGUUGUUGGGUAGGGGAGCGUUCUGUAAGCCUGCGAAGGUGGCCUGUGAGGGUUGCUGGAGGUAUCAGAAGUGCGAAUGCUGACAUAAGUAACGAUAAAGCGGGUGAAAAGCCCGCUCGCCGGAAGACCAAGGGUUCCUGUCCAACGUUAAUCGGGGCAGGGUGAGUCGACCCCUAAGGCGAGGCCGAAAGGCGUAGUCGAUGGGAAACGGGUUAAUAUUCCCGUACUUGGUGUUACUGCGAAGGGGGGACGGAGAAGGCUAUGUUGGCCGGGCGACGGUUGUCCCGGUUUAAGCGUGUAGGUGUGUGUUCCAGGUAAAUCCGGUUCACUUUAACACUGAGGCGUGAUGACGAGGCACUACGGUGCUGAAGCAACAAAUGCCCUGCUUCCAGGAAAAGCCUCUAAGCAUCAGGUAACAUCAAAUCGUACCCCAAACCGACACAGGUGGUCAGGUAGAGAAUACCAAGGCGCUUGAGAGAACUCGGGUGAAGGAACUAGGCAAAAUGGUGCCGUAACUUCGGGAGAAGGCACGCUGACACGUAGGUGAAGUGAUUUACUCAUGGAGCUGAAGUCAGUCGAAGAUACCAGCUGGCUGCAACUGUUUAUUAAAAACACAGCACUGUGCAAACACGAAAGUGGACGUAUACGGUGUGACGCCUGCCCGGUGCCGGAAGGUUAAUUGAUGGGGUCAGCGCAAGCGAAGCUCCUGAUCGAAGCCCCGGUAAACGGCGGCCGUAACUAUAACGGUCCUAAGGUAGCGAAAUUCCUUGUCGGGUAAGUUCCGACCUGCACGAAUGGCGUAAUGAUGGCCAGGCUGUCUCCACCCGAGACUCAGUGAAAUUGAACUCGCUGUGAAGAUGCAGUGUACCCGCGGCAAGACGGAAAGACCCCGUGAACCUUUACUAUAGCUUGACACUGAACAUUGAGCCUUGAUGUGUAGGAUAGGUGGGAGGCUUUGAAGUGUGGACGCCAGUCUGCAUGGAGCCGACCUUGAAAUACCACCCUUUAAUGUUUGAUGUUCUAACGUGGACCCGUGAUCCGGGUUGCGGACAGUGUCUGGUGGGUAGUUUGACUGGGGCGGUCUCCUCCUAAAGAGUAACGGAGGAGCACGAAGGUUGGCUAAUCCUGGUCGGACAUCAGGAGGUUAGUGCAAUGGCAUAAGCCAGCUUGACUGCGAGCGUGACGGCGCGAGCAGGUGCGAAAGCAGGUCAUAGUGAUCCGGUGGUUCUGAAUGGAAGGGCCAUCGCUCAACGGAUAAAAGGUACUCCGGGGAUAACAGGCUGAUACCGCCCAAGAGUUCAUAUCGACGGCGGUGUUUGGCACCUCGAUGUCGGCUCAUCACAUCCUGGGGCUGAAGUAGGUCCCAAGGGUAUGGCUGUUCGCCAUUUAAAGUGGUACGCGAGCUGGGUUUAGAACGUCGUGAGACAGUUCGGUCCCUAUCUGCCGUGGGCGCUGGAGAACUGAGGGGGGCUGCUCCUAGUACGAGAGGACCGGAGUGGACGCAUCACUGGUGUUCGGGUUGUCAUGCCAAUGGCACUGCCCGGUAGCUAAAUGCGGAAGAGAUAAGUGCUGAAAGCAUCUAAGCACGAAACUUGCCCCGAGAUGAGUUCUCCCUGAGACUUUAGGUCUCCUGAAGGAACGUUGAAGACGACGACGUUGAUAGGCCGGGUGUGUAAGCGCAGCGAUGCGUUGAGCUAACCGGUACUAAUGAACCGUGAGGCUUAACCUUACAACGCCGAAG
rnacentral:rRNA from 1 species